rnacentral:rRNA from 1 species
UACGUAGGGUGCAAGCGUUGUCCGGAAUUAUUGGGCGUAAAGAGCUCGUAGGCGGCUUGUCACGUCGGGUGUGAAAGCCCGGGGCUUAACCCCGGGUCUGCAUUCGAUACGGGCUGGCUAGAGUGUGGUAGGGGAGAUCGGAAUUCCUGGUGUAGCGGUGUAAUGCGCAGAUAUCAGGAGGAACACCGGUGGCGAAGGCGGAUCUCUGGGCCAUUACUGACGCUGAGGAGCGAAAGCGUGGGGAGCGAACAGG